CUGAGUAGAUGUUUUUUUUUUCUUUCUAUUGUGUCAUUGAAUCACUGAAGUAGCAUGACUGAAAUCUAAGAAGCAUUGACUUUGAUGACAGUUCAUUUUUUUUCUUUGAGAAAUGAAAUAAGGCAAAAAUAAGAACACUAGUUGAAAUGAAGUUUAGUAAAGAGAAGUUUUGAUUUUAAACUAAGCUAGACAUGUGCACUUAGCCAACAGUUCCAAAAUCUACAAAAAUAAACAUAGUGGGUUCAGGGAGAAAAUAUCAUCUGUUGUUAAAUAUGCACAGCCACUCAAACGAAAGUGACAUCUACACAACAGGUAUACAGCAACAUCAAGUAUCAGCAGGAGGGAA